rnacentral:rRNA from 1 species
UACGUAGGGGGCAAGCGUUAUCCGGAUUUACUGGGCGUAAAGCGCGUGUAGGCGGUUGCGCAAGUUGGUUGUGAAAUCUCCCGGCUCAACCGGGAAACUGCAGCCAAAACUGCGCGGCUAGAGUGGCAGAGAGGAAAGUGGAAUUCCUGGUGUAGCGGUGAAAUGCGCAGAUAUCAGGAGGAACACCGAUGGCGAAGGCAGGUCUCUGGGCCAUAACUGACGCUGGAGAAGCGAAAAGCAUGGGGAGCGAACAGG